rnacentral:rRNA from 1 species
UACGGGAUGCUCCAGUGGGGAAUAUUGCGCAAUGGGGGAAACCCUGACGCAGCGACGCCGCGUGUAGGAAGAAGGCCUUCGGGUCGUAAACUACUGUCAGGAGGGAAGAAACUGUUAGGGAGUAAUAUGCCCUUUCAUUGACGGUACCUCCAGAGGAAGCACCGGCUAACUCCGUGCCAGCAGCCGCGGUAAUACGGAGGGUGCGAGCGUUAAUCGGAAUCACUGGGCGUAAAGCGUGCGUAGGCGGCAUUGCAAGUCAGGCGUGAAAGCCCUCGGCUCAACCGAGGAAUUGCGCUUGGAACUGCUUUGCUAGAGUCUCGGAGAGGUUGGCGGAAUUCCAGGUGUAGGAGUGAAAUCCGUAGAUAUCUGGAGGAACACCGGUGGCGAAGGCGGCCAACUGGACGAGUACUGACGCUGAGGUACGAAAGCGUGGGGAGCAAACAGGAUUAGAUACCCGUGUAGUC